rnacentral:rRNA from 1 species
GGGUGUGAACAUACCAACACUACUGCACCGGAUCCCAUUAGAACUCCGUAAUGAAGCUUCAUAUGCGAGAGUAGUACUAAGAUGGGUGACCUCGUGAGAAGUCCUCGUAUUCCACCCC